rnacentral:rRNA from 1 species
CUCAGGACGAACGCUGGCGGCGUGCCUAAUACAUGCAAGUCGAGCGGACAGAAGGGAGCUUGCUCCCGGAUGUUAGCGGCGGACGGGUGAGUAACACGUGGGUAACCUGCCUGUAAGACUGGGAUAACUCCGGGAAACCGGAGCUAAUACCGGAUAGUUCCUUGAACCGCAUGGUUCAAGGAUGAAAGACGGUUUCGGCUGUCACUUACAGAUGGACCCGCGGCGCAUUAGCUAGUUGGUGGGGUAAUGGCUCACCAAGGCGACGAUGCGUAGCCGACCUGAGAGGGUGAUCGGCCACACUGGGACUGAGACACGGCCCAGACUCCUACGGGAGGCAGCAGUAGGGAAUCUUCCGCAAUGGACGAAAGUCUGACGGAGCAACGCCGCGUGAGUGAUGAAGGUUUUCGGAUCGUAAAGCUCUGUUGUUAGGGAAGAACAAGUGCGAGAGUAACUGCUCGCACCUUGACGGUACCUAACCAGAAAGCCACGGCUAACUACGUGCCAGCAGCCGCGGUAAUACGUAGGUGGCAAGCGUUGU